rnacentral:rRNA from 1 species
UACGGAAGGCAGCAGUGGGGAAUAUUGCACAAUGGGCGCAAGCCUGAUGCAGCCAUGCCGCGUGUAUGAAGAAGGCCUUCGGGUUGUAAAGUACUUUCAGUCGUGAGGAAGGUGUUAAGGUUAAUAACCUUAGCAAUUGACGUUAGCGACAGAAGAAGCACCGGCUAACUCCGUGCCAGCAGCCGCGGUAAUACGGAGGGUGCGAGCGUUAAUCGGAAUUACUGGGCGUAAAGGGCACGCAGGCGGUUAAUUAAGUUGGAUGUGAAAUCCCCGGGCUUAACCUGGGAAUGGCAUUCAAGACUGGUUAGCUAGAGUCUUGUAGAGGGGGUAGAAUUCCAUGUGUAGCGGUGAAAUGCGUAGAGAUGUGGAGGAAUACCGGUGGCGAAGGCGGCCCCUGGACAAAGACUGACGCUCAUGUGCGAAAAGCGUGGGGA